CCCUUAGAUGUUCUGGGCUGCACGCGCGCUACACUGAAGCUAUCAACACGUUUUCCCUCCCUGAGAAGGGCGGGUAACCUUUUGAAUCAGCUUCGUGGUAGGGAUCGGGGCUUGCAAUUGUUCCCCGUGAACCAGGAAUUCCUAGUAGACGCGAGUCAUAAGCUCGCAUCGAUUAAGUCCCUGCCCUUUGUACACACCGCCCGUCGCUACUACCGAUUGAACGUUUUAGUGAGGCAUUUGGACCGACGCAUGUCAGUUUAACCGCUGGUUUGUGUUGGAAAGACUUCCAAACUUGAGCGUUUAGAGGAAGUAAAAGUCGUAACA
rnacentral:rRNA from 1 species